rnacentral:misc_RNA from 1 species
GAUGAAGAACGUAGUGAAACGCGAUAAGUAAUGUGAAUUGCAGAAUUCAGUGAAUCAUCGAAUCUUUGAACGCACAUUGCGCCCCUUGGUAUUCCGAGGGGCAUGCCUGUUCGAGCGUCAUAUUAACCACUCCCGCUUGCGGGGUCUUGGGCUUCGCCUCCGGGCGGGCCUUAAAAUCAGUGGCGGUGCCGUCGGGCUCUACGCGUAGUAAAUUUUCUCGCGAUAGGGUCCCGGUGGAUGCUUGCCAACAACCCCCAACUUCUUAAGGUUGACCUCGGAUCAGGUAGGGAUACCCGCUGAACUUAAGCAUAUCAAUAAGCGGAGGA